CAUAUGAAAUGCCCGACGAAAAGAGAAAAGGGAAAGUGACAGAAUGGCGAAGCAGCUACCGGAGAGUUCUUCAAGAGGAGAGACGAGUGGAGGAAGCAUCCUAGGUUCAGCAAUUAGCCCAGCCAUGCCCUUCUUGGUUUUGGCCUCAGAGUCUCGUCAUCGACGUCUACCUGAUCGGCGAGCAGAUCUACAACAAACUCCUUGGUCCUUCCUCCUCCUCCUUCUCUUCUGGGUCUGCUUUUAAUGGUGUGGUUUUUCCUGGGUUUUUCAAGAAAUCUUCAAAAUGGAAAAAUACAAUUAGAAUCCUAUUGUCGGAACCCUAGCUUGGUUUUUGUCAUAGGGACUUGCCAAAUGGAAGUUUAUUUUGGAAGCCAUAGCAGGAGGAAUCAUCCAUGGUGAAGUAUUCAAGAAAGCCUAAUCCUAUCAACUGUGAGUAAUUUUUCUAUCCUUUUUUUUUUUUUGUUUUAACUGUCGUUGUUGAUUUAUAGAAUUUAUUUGGCCGCUGAGAAAAUCUUGCAAAGCUAGGGGAUCAAACCUAUGAGUUCAUUUUCAGGAUUGCUACAUUGACAUUUGCUCCCCAGAGGUUCUAAUCAUUUUUAUUGACAAUUUUGAUUACCAACAUCUAUGGUGCCAUUUUGUCAAGGGAUUGCUUGUUGAUGAUUGUCUUUAUGAGUCUUUUGAGGAAGAAGCUAGAUAUUUUCAGUUUGCUACAGCAAUAACAUCGAAUGAUAUUGAUGAAAUACAGAAGUUUCUUGAUGCUGCUGUUGAUGCAAGUUGUGAGGGUUUGAUUAUUAAGACUUUGAAUAAAGAUGCUACGUAUGAGCCUUCCAAGCGGUCACUGAACUGGCUGGAAUUAACAAGAGCAUUGUCACACAAAGCAAGGUUAUCCCAAUUAUACGAUAACGUCUUUCAUCAGCUUCUGACAUUUCCCUUAUCCCUUUUGUUUCUUCCUCCAAAACAUGGUCUUUUUCAUUCAAGAAAAAGGAUUAAAUAAUGCCCUUGUUUGUUACCAUGAAAUGUUAACAUUAAAUUUAUGAUAAAUUUUGCUAUGUAUAAUUAUAUAAUCUAGCUUUUUGUUGUAUUUUUUCUGUUAUUUUAAAUCCCUUUUCUCUGGUUCACUCAAUUCCAAUUUUUGUAAGUCUUAAAAAGCAAUGUACCCAGGUGGUUAUCUACAGAAGUUACAAGCUUAUCUCCAAAAGCAACAGAAAAGGAUGUUUAUGAUUUUUUCACUUAUUGUGGUGCAAUUGAGCAUGUUGAAAUCAUCAGGUACAGUCCUUCUGCACAAAUCAAUAGUAGUCCAUGGAACCAUGAGGGCAAUAGUGGUUCAUUAGUAACAAAUCAAUAGAAAUAAUUUCCAUUGGAUGGGCAAGACAAUUUAGUUCCCACCAAAUUCUAAAAUUAUUCUAUAUAAGGAUCUUCAUUUCCAGGAUGUCUUGUUUCUAGGAUCUUAGUGUUUAUGAAGAUUGAUAUAUGGGCAUCACUUAUCUCUUAUUCAACCAAAGCACCCAAAUUUCUAGAGUAUUCUCUCUUUAGCUAUCUAAAAUUCUCUGCAUUGUAAAACUUGCAACUGAAAUUGCCACUAUCUUUUGUACUAGGUUCCCCCAUGUCAUGCCUGCUAAAAUGACCAUAAAUUGAAUGGAAGCCAACUUCUUGUGCUCGAUAAUGUAUUUGCACAAUUUCUAUUGUUGGCAAAGGAAUGUUCUGUUGGCGGCAAAGAAUUUUUGCUUCUUGUCAGAGCUUUAUAUACAGCAAGUGGAAAAAAUCAUCUUGUAAUAUUCUCUAGUUUUUAUUCAUAAAACACUUGUACAUUUUUCUCUUAUAAAUUUAGAUUUAGUUUUUAGUUUUUCUACAUGAUUCUUAUUUCAAGAGGAAGUUUAAGGACCCAAUUUCAUUGUUAGAUUCUCCAUAUUUUUUGAGAAGUGGAAAAACAAGAAAUAAAAAGGAUGAGAAUUUAAAUGGUAAUUGAGUUCUCAAAUAUUGGCUCUCUAGUUUGGGACCAUUUGAACUUGUUUGAAUGGUAUGCAUUGAAAUUUAGUUAGUUUUAGAUUGGAGACUAUUCCCAGCUUGAAAGCUUCUUCCAAUCUCUUUUAGAUUUGCAUUUCUCCUUUUUAUAAGUCAUCUAUUGUAUUGUAUUAGUAAAAUAUCAUUCUCUGUUCAGUAUUUUGUAAGCUUCUUACUGUUACAAGGAUGCUAUUAAUGCCCAAU